GGUAUGCUUCUUCGGAACAGAGACCGGCGCACGGGUGCGUAACGCGUAUGCAAUCUACCUUUUACAGAGGGAUAGCCCAGAGAAAUUUGGAUUAAUACCUCAUAGCAUAGCAACUUCGCAUGAAGUCACUAUUAAAGUCACAACGGUAAAAGAUGAGCAUGCGUCCCAUUAGCUAGUUGGUAAGGUAACGGCUUACCAAGGCUACGAUGGGUAGGGGUCCUGAGAGGGAGAUCCCCCACACUGGUACUGAGACACGGACCAGACUCCUACGGGAGGCAGCAGUGAGGAAUAUUGGACAAUGGGCGCAAGCCUGAUCCAGCCAUGCCGCGUGCAGGAUGACGGUCCUAUGGAUUGUAAACUGCUUUUAUACAGGAAGAAACCCUGGUUCGUGAACCAGCUUGACGGUACUGUAAGAAUAAGGAUCGGCUAACUCCGUGCCAGCAGCCGCGGUAAUACGGAGGAUCCAAGCGUUAUCCGGAAUCAUUGGGUUUAAAGGGUCCGUAGGCGGUUUAGUAAGUCAGUGGUGAAAAGCCCAUCGCUCAACGGUGGAACGGCCAUUGAUACUGCUAAACUUGAAUUAUUAGGAAGUAACUAGAAUAUGUAGUGUAGCGGUGAAAUGCUUAGAGAUUACAUGGAAUACCAAUUGCGAAGGCAGGUUACUACUAAUUGAUUGACGCUGAUGGACGAAAGCGUGGGUAGCGAACAGGAUUAGAUACCCUGGUAGUCCACGCCGUAAACGAUGGAUACUAGCUGGUGGGGAGCAAUCUCAGUGGCUAAGCGAAAGUGAUAAGUAUCCCACCUGGGGAGUACGUUCGCAAGAAUGAAACUCAAAGGAAUUGACGGGGGCCCGCACAAGCGGUGGAGCAUGUGGUUUAAUUCGAUGAUACGCGAGGAACCUUACCAAGGCUUAAAUGUAGUUUGACCGAUUUGGAAACAGAUUUUUCGCAAGACAAAUUACAAGGUGCUGCAUGGUUGUCGUCAGCUCGUGCCGUGAGGUGUCAGGUUAAGUCCUAUAACGAGCGCAACCCCUGUUGUUAGUUGCCAGCGAGUCAUGUCGGGAACUCUAACAAGACUGCCAGUGCAAACUGUGAGGAAGGUGGGGAUGACGUCAAAUCAUCACGGCCCUUACGCCUUGGGC
rnacentral:rRNA from 1 species